rnacentral:lncRNA from 1 species
CCUUUCUCCUGAAGACUUUCCAACUGACCUUGACAGGUCAAGUAAAGGUGAACAAUUUCUCCUUGGAACUUUCUUGUUUCCAUUCUUCCAACAGUAUAAGAUGGCCCAAAAUUUGACCUCAACUGAGCAGGAGAUAAUGGAGCUCUUAAUGAUAUUACAAGAGUUCUCCGUGAAAAAGAUAGACAAACUGGAUGUCCAGGAAGUAAAAAGGCUCUUUAGAGAGGAACUUCCAAAUUUUCUAAAGGCAAUGGAUGAAGCUACUAAAAACAAAAUACUGAAUGACAAGGGGAAGGAGAUGCCCUUUGAUGAGAUUUGGGACAUGAUAGGAAGAAUGGCACUGGAGUACAGGAAGAAGAACAGCAAUGCCCUCAAAGAUUAGCCUCACAUCAAUGUGCUUUUCCUUGAAGAAGGUGGGCAUAGCCAUGGCCAAAGUUCCGAACCAGGAAUUCUGCUCAUGUUUCUUCUGCCCAACCAGUGCUACAGAAAUUUCAUGUCACAGGCAUUGACAU